rnacentral:lncRNA from 1 species
GUGGUUUCCCCCUCCAACUUGAGGGGGGUGUUGAGAUGAGAGAUUAUAUGGCUUCCAAGCUAAAGCAUAAGUGACAUAGACCUGUAUAUUUAUUGUAUGUUCAUGGUAUACAUUGUAGUGGGCUGUGAUGAUUAUUGAAGUUGGAUUGUGAAUAUCUGAGCCCAAGUUUAUUUUAGUCUUGGGUCGUCUGACCCGACCCAAGAGUGGAGUGAUGUAUAUAGUUAGGUACAGAUACUUUGUAAUUAAGG